ensembl:ncRNA lncRNA:CR45439 long non-coding RNA:CR45439
AUCCCUAGCUCAUUUUGGCUGCGGUGCCUUUGGCUGACUGAAUGACAGCGAGGUAAACACAAUAUUUACACAGCCAGAAGUCCGGACCAGCUCGCAUUUAAAAGACAUCAACACGAAAGGGUUAAAACGAUGCAUUUGAAUUACCAAAGUAAACACGAUAUACGAAAAUACAAAAAUACGAAAAUACUUUUGAGUCCGUUG